CCUANGGGGGGCUGCAGUUUCGAAUCAUUCACAAUGGGCGAAAGCCUGAUGGUGCGACGCCGCGUGAGGGAUGAAGGCCUUCGGGUUGUAAACCUCUGUCACCGGGGAAGAAACGCUUCAAGUUAAUAGCUUGAAGCCUGACUUAACCCGGAGAGGAAGCAGUGGCUAACUCUGUGCCAGCAGCCGCGGUAAUACAGAGACUGCAAGCGUUAUUCGGAUUCACUGGGCGUAAAGGGUGCGCAGGCGGCCAAGUGUGUGAAGUGUGAAAGCCCGGGGCUUAACCCCGGAAUUGCACCUCAAACUACUUGGCUAGAGCAUUGGAGAGGGUAGCAGAAUUCACGGUGUAGCAGUGAAAUGCGUAGAUAUCGUGAGGAAUACCAGAGGCGAAGGCGGCUACCUGGACAAUUGCUGACGCUCAGGCACGAAAGCGUGGGGAGCAAAAGGGAUUAGAUACCCGGNUANUC
rnacentral:rRNA from 1 species